CAGCUACACAUGCAAGUCGAGCGGAUGAAGGGAGCUUGCUCCUGGAUUCAGCGGCGGACGGGUGAGUAAUGCCUAGGAAUCUGCCUGGUAGUGGGGGAUAACGUCCGGAAACGGGCGCUAAUACCGCAUACGUCCUGAGGGAGAAAGUGGGGGAUCUUCGGACCUCACGCUAUCAGAUGAGCCUAGGUCGGAUUAGCUAGUUGGUGGGGUAAAGGCCUACCAAGGCGACGAUCCGUAACUGGUCUGAGAGGAUGAUCAGUCACACUGGAACUGAGACACGGUCCAGACUCCUACGGGAGGCAGCAGUGGGGAAUAUUGGACAAUGGGCGAAAGCCUGAUCCAGCCAUGCCGCGUGUGUGAAGAAGGUCUUCGGAUUGUAAAGCACUUUAAGUUGGGAGGAAGGGCAGUAAGUUAAUACCUUGCUGUUUUGACGUUACCAACAGAAUAAGCACCGGCUAACUUCGUGCCAGCAGCCGCGGUAAUACGAAGGGUGCAAGCGUUAAUCGGAAUUACUGGGCGUAAAGCGCGCGUAGGUGGUUCAGCAAGUUGGAUGUGAAAUCCCCGGGCUCAACCUGGGAACUGCAUCCAAAACUACUGAGCUAGAGUACGGUAGAGGGUGGUGGAAUUUCCUGUGUAGCGGUGAAAUGCGUAGAUAUAGGAAGGAACACCAGUGGCGAAGGCGACCACCUGGACUGAUACUGACACUGAGGUGCGAAAGCGUGGGGAGCAAACAGGAUUAGAUACCCUGGUAGUCCACGCCGUACACGAUGUCGACUAGCCGUUGGGAUCCUUGAGAUCUUAGUGGCGCAGCUAACGCGAUAAGUCGACCGCCUGUGGAGUACGGCCGCA
rnacentral:rRNA from 1 species